rnacentral:rRNA from 1 species
CCUACGGGCGGCAGCAGUGAGGAAUAUUGGUCAAUGGACGGAAGUCUGAACCAGCCAUGCCGCGUGCAGGAAGACGGCUCUAUGAGUUGUAAACUGCUUUUGUACAAGGGUAAACCUGAAUACGUGUAUUCAGCUGAAAGUACUGUACGAAUAAGGAUCGGCUAACUCCGUGCCAGCAGCCGCGGUAAUACGGAGGAUCCAAGCGUUAUCCGGAUUUAUUGGGUUUAAAGGGUGCGUAGGCGGGUUGAUAAGUUAGAGGUGAAAUGUCCGAGCUUAACUCGGGAACUGCCUCUAAUACUGUUGGUCUAGAGUGUAGAUGCGGUAGGCGGAAUGUAUGGUGUAGCGGUGAAAUGCUUAGAGAUCAUACAGAACACCGAUUGCGAAGGCAGCUUACCAAUCUAUAUCUGACGUUGAGGCACGAAAGCGUGGGGAGCAAACAGGAUUAGAUACCCGAGUAGUC